CGGGUGUACAGUAGUAACAGUGCAAAAAGUACUGGAGCACAUGCGGUUACAGCGAAGUCAGGUGCCAUGGCAUUUCGUGUUUAUUUAAAUCAGCAGUUUUGUUGAAGUUGUAUGAGCUUGAACCACCAGGCUCAAUAUCGAAUAUCUUGAUAAUUUAAAAAAUAAAAAUAUUCUCAAAUUACAAAGCAAAACUGGUCACCAAUUUUUGUAAUCGAUGAAUAAAUCUGAGGACGAGGCAACUUAUGUACUUAUCCUUAGCAAAGAAAACCCCAAGAGUUUGGAAUAGUAAAAUCGGGACGGCCUGAUUUAAGACAUCUGAAAUAUUGGAGACAUGUCUUAUGUUGGAUCUGCUUCGCCUUUGGAAAUAGAAUGCUAUACCUGCCGUGUGACUCAGAUUUCUUGCAGUAGCCAUUUUCAUUUAAAAUCUUAAAACAUGUAUUUUCUUAUUUUUUAAUGUGAAAUGUUGUUUUAAGGAUUAUUUUGAAACGUGAACAUUUUUAGUAAUAUGUAGUAUAGUGUAAAUAUUAAACUACACAACAGUACAUAUACUGCGUAAUUGUAUAAUCAGUGUAGGGAUGGAAAGUUAUUGCAGUAAGUAAUGAUUAUUAAAAAAGAGCAAGGUGUAACUCAAAUGUAAUUUUUUGAAUCUGGAGUUAAUGAUUCUGAUGCAUGUGGUAUGUUUACCGAACAGAUCAUCGCGCACUGGGUAUCUCAAUGCAGGUUCAGGUUCUACUUUUUCUGUCGGAUGCGAGUUGAGCUAUUGUCUUGUCUGGAGUGAUCCGAUCCAAUAUCCUUAUUCCCAUUUGACCCCCCCCCCCCCACCCCAACAUGUCACCCAAGUGUUCUGCUGAUGUUAUUCAUGCUGUUCUUAAGAGGAAGCGCCAAAGCAUUACAUUAACCACAAAAAUUGAAAUUGUGAAUGCUGUUGAAAGAGGUGAAAGAUCCAUUGAUGUUGCUUGCUGUCUUGGUCUUCCUCCAUCAAGUAUAAGGACCAUCAUUCAGAAAAAAUAUGUGACCAAAAAGAUGGCUGCUGUGAGUCCCAAGCAUUCUGAGAUGAGAAUAACAAAGGAGAGACCAGAAAUUAUUCGAGAAAAUGGAAAAACGUCUUGCUGCCUGGCUGCAGGACCACCAUGUGCGGAAUAUCCCUGUAAGUCUUGGCCUCGUUCAAGAAAAAGCUCUUAGACUAUAUGACAACUUAAAGAAACAAAUGCCUCCUGCAGAAGCUGCUGUGUGCCAAGAAUUUAAGGCAGCCCGUGGGUGGUUUCAUCGCUUCCAAAAGCGCCAUGGCUUUAAGAAUGUAAGAGUCCUAGGGAGGGCUGCUAGCGCUGAUACCCAGGCUGCUGAAAAAUUUCCAGAAUACUUGGAAAAGAUAAUCAAGGAAGGUGGAUAUAGCCCCAGGCAAAUUUUCAGUAUGGAUGAAUCAGGACUGUUUUGGAAGAAGAUACCUACAAGGACUUAUAACUCUGUAAAAGAAAAAACACCCCCUGGAUUGAAAGCAGCCAAGGAACGUGUCGCAUUGUUGUUUGGUGCCAACGCUAGUGGUGAUAAGAAGUUGAAACCUUUGCUGGUGCAUCGUUCUGAAAACCCACGAGCACUGAAAAAUGUUGUCAAGUCCCUGCUUCCUGUUGUUUGGAAGUCCCACCAAAAGGCAUGGACAACAAAACAAAUCUUUCAGGAAUAUCUUGUUGAUCAUGCAAUUCCUGAGUUGCGUGACUAUUGCAAGGAAGAGAACAUGGACUUCAGGAUACUGCUGAAAGAUUCGUUUUGUGGUGUACUGCAGCCACAUGAUCAAGGCGUCAUUGCCUGUUUCAUGGCUAAUUACCAUAAAGAAACUUUGCAAAAAUUGAUUGCUGCAACAGGUGAUGGUGACAAAACUGUUGAAGAAUUUUGGAAAGACUUCACAAUUUUAGAUGCUGUAUACAUCAUAGGCAGAGGGUGGCAAGCUGUUACACAACAACAUAUUAAUAACGCUUGGAGAACUGCAUAUCCUCAUGCUUUGUAUGAGUUUGAAGGAUAUGAUGAGACUCAAGUACACAAGGAACUUGUACAGCUCACAAAUGAAGCACGAAUCAAUGUUAAGGAGGAGGAUGUAGAAGAGUUGAUUGAGCCUGACAGUGUUGCUUUCAUUAAUGAGGAGCUGGAGGAAUUUGGGCAGUCAUUUGAAGAAGAGAGUGUUGAGGAAGAAGGAGGAACCGCAAAGAAGUUAGCUGCUGCUGUGGUCAAAAAAUUAUUAGAGCACAUUGAUGCUGCGGAAGAAAUAGUGAUGCAUCAUGAUCCAUUUUGUGAUAGAGCUAUACAGUUUUCGAGAAUUGUGCAAGAUGCAGCAUCUUGCUACAAACUUCUGCUGGAGGAAAAAAAUAAACAUGCUCAACCUGCAUUAAAUGAUUGUUUUUUUGUAAGAAAAAUUAAGUGUGCCACUUACGGACAUGCCUGCUCCUGGACCCUCAAGCUUUCAGAAAGAAAAACUGGAAAAAGAAAAGCAAACAAAAGUCCGAGUGAUAGAGCUUCUUCAAGGGAAAAAAGAAGAAGCUAUGGAUGUGCAUGUUAUCCAGCUUGAUGCGGAAUGUGAUUCUAUGCUUAGUGAUGGGGAAUCACAAGAGGUGUUUGAGAGAUUUGAAGAUGGUGAGGAUCCAAAUGAUCCACCUUCUCUCCUUCUAUUCUCUUCUUCCAGCUAACUUAAAACAAGACCUGCAUCUGCUCAUGACAAGCAAGGUUCUUUUUUUACAAGGGUGAGCUUCCAGUGCUGUCCAGGUGUGCCA